GACUAUUACAGGUACGGGCUCUGAGAGGAGUGGCCCGGAGAUGGGUACUGAGACACGGACCCAGGCCCUAUGGGGCGCAGCAGGCGAGAAAACUUUGCAAUGUGCGAAAGCACGACAAGGUUAAUCCGAGUGGUUUCUGCUAAAGGAACCUUUUGUUAGUCCUAGAAACACUAACGAAUAAGGGGUGGGCAAGUUCUGGUGUCAGCCGCCGCGGUAAAACCAGCACCUCAAGUGGUCAGGAUGAUUAUUGGGCCUAAAGCAUCCGUAGCCGGCUCAGUAAGUUUUCGGUUAAAUCUGUACGCUCAACGUACAGGCUGCCGGGAAUACUGCAGAGCUAGGGAGUGGGAGAGGUAGACGGUACUCGGGAGGAAGUGGUAAAAUGCUUUGAUCUUUCGAUGACCACCCGUGGCGAAGGCGGUCUACCAGAACACGUCCGACGGUGAGGGAUGAAAGCUGGGGGAGCAAACCGGAUUAGAUACCCGGGUAGUCCCAGCUGUAAACUAUGCAAACUCAGUGAUGCAUUGGCUUGUGGCCAAUGCAGUGUUGCAGGGAAGCCGUUAAGUUUGCCGCCUGGGAAGUACGUACGCAAGUANGAAACUUAAAGGAAUUGGCGGGGGAGCACCACAA
rnacentral:rRNA from 1 species